GAUGAACGCUGGCGGCGUGCCUAAUACAUGCAAGUCGAGCGAACAGACGAGGAGCUUGCUCCUCUGACGUUAGCGGCGGACGGGUGAGUAACCCGUGGAUAACCUACCUAUAAGACUGGGAUAACUUCGGGAAACCGGAGCUAAUACCGGAUAAUAUAUUGAACCGCAUGGUUCAAUAGUGAAAGACGGUUUUGCUGUCACUUAUAGAUGGAUCCGCGCCGCAUUAGCUAGUUGGUAAGGUAACGGCUUACCAAGGCAACGAUGCGUAGCCGACCUGAGAGGGUGAUCGGCCACACUGGAACUGAGACACGGUCCAGACUCCUACGGGAGGCAGCAGUAGGGAAUCUUCCGCAAUGGGCGAAAGCCUGACGGAGCAACGCCGCGUGAGUGAUGAAGGUCUUCGGAUCGUAAAACUCUGUUAUUAGGGAAGAACAAAUGUGUAAGUAACUAUGCACGUCCUGACGGUACCUAAUCAGAAAGCCACGGCUAACUACGUG
rnacentral:rRNA from 1 species